rnacentral:rRNA from 1 species
CCUACGGGCGGCAGCAGUGAGGAAUCUUUGUCAAUGGGCGUAAGCCUGCACCAGCCAAGUCGCGUGAGGGAUUAAGGUUCUAUGGAUCGUACACCUCUUUUAUGAGGGAAUAAAGUGUGGGACGUGUCCUAUUUUGUAUGUAACUUAUGAAUAAGGAUCGGCUAACUCCGUGCCAGCCGCCGCUGUACUACGGAGUAUCCGACCGUUCUCCGGCUUUAUUGGGUUUAAAGGGUGCGUAGGCGGCCUUUUAAGUCAGCGGUGAAAGUCUGUGUCGAAAAGAUCGAAUGGCCGUUGAAACUGGGUGGCUUGAGUAUUUGUGAGGCAGGCGGAAGGCGCGGUGUAGCAGUGAAAUGCUUAGAUAUCA